rnacentral:lncRNA from 1 species
UGUUUAAUUAAAUAAAUAUAAUAACUAAGUUAUUAAACUUGGUUAAAUGUUUAAGAAAACAAUCAAGGGAAGGAAAUUACUACAUUUGUGAUCAAGUAACAACUAGAGGGGCCAAGGUUGUCAAUAAAGAGGAAAGUUUAUGUUUAAAUAAAAUAAAAAUUAAAACCCCAAAAAAAAAUACACACUCAGUGUGUGUGUGUGGGUCGAUGUUCGACCAGGAGAGAAAGGAAAAGGGGUAAAACCCUAGAUCACCAAAAUCCAGCAAAUUGAAGGAGGAUUGAAGGGCUAAUCGAAUGCAUGAACCAGGAAUGUCGACCAUUUAAGUGUUUCUACCAUCAUGAACGUGUCAAGGAGACGUCAAGCAUAGGAGGAUGACGGGUCAAGAUAAGGCAAGGUGACAAAUACACUUAUUGGAGUACUCAAGGUAAGUGAAUUUCGAUUCACUUUUUAGUAGGUUUAAUAGAUUUUAAUACUUAUGUUUAUGAAACAUCAUGAAAGAACAUGUAAUAAUCAGAAGUACAAAGUUAAUAAUGCCUCAUUAUUGAAGAAGGUUGUUAUUUAAGCCGAAAGUAAAAUUGGUGGGUUUAAACGGGUCGAAUUUUAUGUGCAUGUGUUGCGUAAUGUAAUGAAAUUCGUUAUGGUUAAGACCUUGGGUAAGAAUUUUUAGUCAAUUAUGUAAGGGGAACAUUUUCCGGACCAUUAGGAACAAGUUUUAUAUAUGAUUCGGUUGUGUAUGGGUCAAGAUAUGGUAGUUUUAAUGUUUAAAAUGGAAGUUGAGCUGGGCACUACCGUAGCUUACGGUAGCCACCGUAAGCUACGGUGGGUUCUGAAGUCUUUCGGGCCACCGUAAGGCAGCAGCACUUCACCGUAAGGGUUUUAUGGCCACCGUAAGCUACGGUAGCCACCGUAGCUUACGGUGGAGCUGUCGCGCCUCGCGUAAUAGUAAGCUAUGGCUUACGCGGCCCGCGAGGGACCGUGCUAUUGGCUUUUUGCUGAAAUUGUGAUGUUUUGAGUAUGAGACUUGUCUAAAAAUGAUUUUUCUAAGGCCACGUACGUUAUGAUAAGGAUGGUUUCAUAUAUCAAUGAUGUAAAGGUUGUCGGUUAGUGAAUGAACGGAUCGUUUCGUGUUAGUGUAGGAAAAUUUAUAAGUAUAUGUGUAUAGGAAUCCAAAAGGCACGUGGGUUGAAUCAUAGAUUGUCUAUGCUAUGUAAGGUUGUGAAUGUGUCAUUCUGGCAUAAACCUACAUGUAAGAAAUGGUAAAAGAAGCUUGUGUAUAUAUUCGUGAUUAAUUGAUUGUGCGUAGGAAGGAAUCAUUGGCAUGUAUGAAGGUACGCAUGUAUAUAUAAGUAUAUAUAUAUAUAUAUGUAUGUAUGUAUGAUAAUAAGUACGUAGGUAUGAUUGUAUGUGUGAAUGAAUGUUCAAUGCUUAAGACAUAUGCAUGAACGUUAUCAAAGUGUUCGAGUAUUUAUGGUUACUAAUGAUGUGCGUUGAGUUGGAAUGUAAUGUAGGUAUGGGAUUGUUGGCUUCAUGAAGAAAUGGAGCUGGAUUUGGAUAAGAGUAUUUAAGAAAGCGCUUGGACAAUUCCAUGAUUACUUUAUGGAAUGCUCUACGAAAUUCUAUUAUAUAGGUUAAUGUUGUAUGGUAUGUUAAUGACUAAUGGUUUGGUUGUACGUGGUGUCCACAGGUAUCGCUUGGGUUUUCUCUACAUUUAUUGAAGUCAAGCAGGGCUUAGUUCGAGUUGAGAGCAAGGAUUGUAUGGGGUAGAACGAUCACACAAUGAGAUUUAUAUAAGUCUUGAUGUGUAAAUCUGUUUAAAUGAAUAUAUGGUAUUUCGUAUUUUAACCUUCAAGUGAUUGACAUGUCUAAUAAAGAACGAAAUUUU